UCGAGCGGAAAGGCCCUUCGGGGUACUCGAGCGGCGAACGGGUGAGUAACACGUGAGUAACCUGCCCUAGGCUUUGGGAUAACCCUCGGAAACGGGGGCUAAUACCGAAUAUGACUUCCUGCCGCAUGGUGGGGGGUGGAAAGUUUUUCGGCCUGGGAUGGACUCGCGGCCUAUCAGCUUGUUGGUGGGGUAACGGCCUACCAAGGCGACGACGGGUAGCCGGCCUGAGAGGGCGACCGGCCACACUGGGACUGAGACACGGCCCAGACUCCUACGGGAGGCAGCAGUGGGGAAUAUUGCACAAUGGGCGAAAGCCUGAUGCAGCGACGCCGCGUGAGGGAUGACGGCCUUCGGGUUGUAAACCUCUUUCAGCAGGGACGAAGCGUAAGUGACGGUACCUGCAGAAGAAGCGCCGGCCAACUACGUGCCAGCAGCCGCGGUAAGACGUAGGGCGCGAGCGUUGUCCGGAUUUAUUGGGCGUAAAGAGCUCGUAGGCGGCUUGUCGCGUCGACUGUGAAAACCCACAGCUCAACUGUGGGCCUGCAGUCGAUACGGGCAGGCUAGAGUUCGGUAGGGGAGACUGGAAUUCCUGGUGUAGCGGUGGAAUGCGCAGAUAUCAGGAGGAACACCGGUGGCGAAGGCGGGUCUCUGGGCCGAUACUGACGCUGAG
rnacentral:rRNA from 1 species